UACGAAGGACCCAAGCGUUCUCCGGAUUUAUUGGGUUUAAAGGGUGCGUAGGCGGAUUAUUAAGUCAGUGGUGAAAGCCUGCAGCUUAACUGCAGAACUGCCAUUGAUACUGAUGAUCUUGAGUAUGAUUGAGGUGGGCGGAAUGUGUCAUGUAGCGGUGAAAUGCUUAGAUAUGACACAGAACACCGAUUGCGAAGGCAGCUCACUAAGCCAUAACUGACGCUGAUGCACGAAAGCGUGGGGAGCAAACAGG
rnacentral:rRNA from 1 species